GACAGAGGAUGCAAGCGUUAUCCGGAAUGAUUGGGCGUAAAGCGUCUGUAGGUGGCUUUUUAAGUCCGCCGUCAAAUCCCAGGGCUCAACCCUGGACAGGCGGUGGAAACUACCAAGCUGGAGUACGGUAGGGGCAGAGGGAAUUUCCGGUGGAGCGGUGAAAUGCGUAGAGAUCGGAAAGAACACCAAAGGCGAAGGCAGUGUCCUGGGGAGUACCUGACGCUCAGGUGCGAAAGCCAGGGGAGCGAACGGG
rnacentral:rRNA from 1 species